UACGGGGGGGGCAAGCGUUGUUCGGAAUUACUGGGCGUAAAGGGCUCGUAGGCGGCCAACUAAGUCAGACGUGAAAUCCCUCGGCUUAACCGGGGAACUGCGUCUGAUACUGGAUGGCUUGAAUCCGGGAGAGGGAUGCGGAAUUCCAGGUUUAGCGGUGAAAUGCGUAGAUAUCCGGAGGAACACCGGUGGCGAAGGCGGCUUCCUGGACCGACACUGACGCUGAGGCGCGAAAGCUAGGGGAGCAAACGGG
rnacentral:rRNA from 1 species